rnacentral:rRNA from 1 species
AUUGAACGCUGGCGGCAGGCCUAACACAUGCAAGUCGAGCGAGUGGCGGACGGGUGAGUAAUGUCUGGGAAUCUGCCUGAUGGAGGGGGAUAACUACUGGAAACGGUGGCUAAUACCGCAUACUAUCGGAUGAACCCAUAUGGGAUUAGCUAGUAGGUGGGGUAAAGGCUCACCUAGGCGACGAUCCCUAGCUGGUCUGAGAGGAUGAUCAGCCACACUGGGACUGAGACACGGGCCAGACUCCUACGGGAGGCAGCAGUGGGGAAUAUUGCACAAUGGGCGCAAGCCUGAUGCAGCCAUGCCGCGUGUAUGAAGAAGGCCUUAGGGUUGUAAAGUACUUUCAGCGGGGAGGCGUUACCCGCAGAAGAAGCACCGGCUAACUCCGUGCCAGCAGCCGCGGUAAUAC